rnacentral:rRNA from 1 species
GAUGAACGCUGGCGGCGUGCCUAAUACAUGCAAGUCGAGCGAACAGACGAGGAGCUAGCUCCUCUGACGUUAGCGGCGGACGGGUGAGUAACACGUGGAUAACCUACCUAUAAGACUGGGAUAACUUCGGGAAACCGGAGCUAAUACCGGAUAAUAUUUUGAACCGCAUGGUUCAAUAGUGAAAGACGGUUUUGCUGUCACUUAUAGAUGGAUCCGCGCCGCAUUAGCUAGUUGGUAAGGUAACGGCUUACCAAGGCAACGAUGCGUAGCCGACCUGAGAGGGUGAUCGGCCACACUGGAACUGAGACACGGUCCAGACUCCUACGGGAGGCAGCAGUAGGGAAUCUUCCGCAAUGGGCGAAAGCCUGACGGAGCAACGCCGCGUGAGUGAUGAAGGUCUUCGGAUCGUAAAACUCUGUUAUUAGGGAAGAACAAAUGUGUAAGUAACUAUGCACGUCUUGACGGUACCUAAUCAGAAAGCCACGGCUAACUACGUG